rnacentral:rRNA from 1 species
GACGAACGCUGGCGGCGUGCUUAACACAUGCAAGUCGAACGGAAAGGCCUCUUUCGGGGGGUACUCGCGUGGCGAACGGGUGAGUAACACGUGAGUAACCUGCCCUUGACUUUGGGAUAACUUCAGGAAACUGGGGCUAAUACCGGAUAGGAGCUCCUGCUGCAUGGUGGGGGUUGGAAAGUUUCGGCGGUUGGGGAUGGACUCGCGGCUUAUCAGCUUGUUGGUGGGGUAGUGGCUUACCAAGGCUUUGACGGGUAGCCGGCCUGAGAGGGUGACCGGCCACACUGGGACUGAGAGACGGCCCAGACUCCGACGGGAGGCAGCAGUGGGGAAGAUUGCACAAGGGGUGGAAGCCUGAUGCAGCAACGCCGUGUGCGGGAUGACGGCCUUCGGGUUGUAAACCGCUUUCGCUCAUGACGAAGCUUUGUGUGACGGUAGUGGGUAAAGAAGCACCGGCUAACUACGUG